rnacentral:lncRNA from 1 species
UAUUCAUUUGAUAUUUGUCUCAUCAUCAGUAUCAAACGAAUAUCAAAACGUGUUAAGGAAUCAAACCACGGUAGUGUCACAACCGGUACACUUCAAAACCGAUGGCUGAAUACGAAUGGCUGAAAACGGAUAUAAAGAUGUGGCGGCACUCAUCAACAAUGUAUGUCGCCAAAGCGAAGUACCUAAUGAGCCAUCAAUAUCACAAUGGUCCUUCCGCCGAAUGUUCGACAACAGUCCCGUGGAGAAUGGAUACAUACGCGUAGAUAGUGGGGAUAUUGAGGGGCGGCAAAGGAAAAAUAAUCGAAUCCGACCGAAAGUCGAGUUGUAAGAGCUUCAGUUUUGGAAAGUCACAGCUGGAGCUCGGAACUAAAUUAUCAUUGUUGUAAUCAAGGUGUUAGUGAAUAAAUUCUCUUUUUUUUAUUUUCAUCUUCGAUCUUUUUUAUUUUACGUGACAGUCGCGUCGCUAUUUAUCGUUACCAACGGAACGAUCCAUCCUUUGAAUUUUUUGUUCGAAGCGUCGACCGAUCCGUGUGUUUAUAAACGCGAUCAUCAUUUUCGUUCCUUUUUUUUGCGUCGUACACUGUCUUCGCGCAAGCAGCACCUGACUCGGUUAUCAUAGCUCCGGUGAGUGUCGCAGCGAUUAUCGGGUUCAGAGUGUUCGUAAAGAUAAUAAAUUGUUAAUAAUGGGAUUACUUUUUGUUAUUCCAAUCACUGAGAUAGACAAAGGACACCCCCCUGGACGGAGAGCUAGGAUGUAAGCACAAAUCGGUUAUCAAGCACGAGCCAUCAGGAAAAUAUCUAAGUUAAACUCCGUUACGUACAGUAUAUACUCUUCUGUGUAUUACUAAAACGAUCCAAAUAAAUCAACUAAAUACAGGA